CCCCUCUUAAGGUCACCUCACCAUCACCCUUUCACUCUGUCAUCCUCCUCACACUAUGUCACCCACCCUCACUGUCACUCACCCUUACUCUGUCACCCAUACUCUCACAUUACGUCACCCCCCCUCUUACUCUGUCAUUCCUCGCUCACCUCAUCACCCUCCCUCUCACACUAUGUCACCACUCUCCGCACUCUGCCACCUCCCUCCAUAUACACUGUCAACCCUCAACACGCUGGCACCCUCCUGCUCUUUUACACUCACCCUGCCACAUUUAUCCCUUUACUCACCCUGUCACCCCCCCCCCAAGGCAAUCAUUAUACACACCGUCAUAAAACAUAGCUUCGCCAUAAACUCAGUGCCAAAGGCAAGUCAGUACACAGACAUACACAUGCUCAGAGAAACAUACAUACAGAUACAAGGAUACUCACUUUCCGAUACACACACUCAGGCAGACAAUGCAACGAUGUAUACAGAGACUAGCUCUGUGUAUCCAGUGCUGCAAGCUCCACCAGGGACGUUUUAGCC